rnacentral:rRNA from 1 species
CGUGAAAUUGGGUCGGAAUCUGGGAGGACCAUCUCCCAAGGCUAAAUACUAACUAGUGACCGAUAGCGAACAAGUACCGUGAGGGAAAGGUGAAAAGAACCCCGGAAGGGGAGUGAAAUAGUUCUUGAAACCGUGUGCUUACAAGAAGUUCGAGGCCGUUAAUGGCUGAGAGCGUGCUUUUUGUAGAAUGAACCGGAGAGUUACGAUUGCGUGCAAGGUUAAGGUGCAAAGACUGGAGCCGUAGCGAAAGCGAGUCUUAAUAGGGCGAAUCAGUACGUAGUUGUAGACCCGAAACCGAGUGACCUAUCCAUGGUCAGGUUGAAGGUGGGGUAAUACCUACUGGAGGACCGAACAAGUGGGUGUUAAAAAACCCUUUGAUGAACUGUGGAU